UUUGCAGAAGGUGCUUCGGGGGCGACUGCGGUCCAAGUCCCUUGGAACGGGGCGUCGCAGAGGGUGAGAAUCCCGUACGCGCCGCUGGUCAAUCCCGUGUGAAGCCCUUUCGACGAGUCGAGUUGUUUGGGAAUGCAGCUCCAAGUGGGUGGUAAAUUUCAUCUAAAGCUAAAUAUCUGCCGGAGACCGAUAGCGCACAAGUAGAGUGAUCGAAAGAUGAAAAGCACUUUGAAAAGAGAGUCAAACAGUACGUGAAAUUGUUGAAAGGGAAGCGCUUGCAACCAGACUCGUUUGCGGAUGUUUAGCCGCCCUCAGGGGCGGUGCACUCUUCCGCAGACGGGCCAGCAUCGGUUCCGGCGGCUGGAUAAAGACCCGGGGAACGUAGCUCCCUCCGGGGAGUGUUAUAGCCCGGGGUGCAAUGCAGCCAGCUGGGACCGAGGACCGCGCAUUUGCUAGGAUGCUGGCGUAAUGGUUGCCAGCGACCCGUCUUGAAACACGGACCAAGGAGUCGACCAACCGCGCGAGUGUUUGGAUGUUAAAUCCCGACGCGCAAUGAAAGUGACGUAGGUGGGAGCUUUGCGCACCAUCGACCGAUCCUGAUGUCUUCGGAUGGAUUUGAGUAAGAGCCCGGCUGGUCGGACCCGAAAGGUAUGAAAUAUUCUACCUCGCGUGAAACGUGAAGCAACAGGCUAACAAUUUUUUUAGAUGGCGAACUAUACGUGAAUAGGGUGAAGCCAGAAGAAAUUCUGGUGGAGGCUCGCAGCGGUUCUGACGUGCAAAUCGAUCGUCAAAUUUGCGUAUAGGGGCGAAAGACUAAUCGAGCCGUCUAGUAGCUGGUUCCUGUCGAAGUUUCCCUCAGGAUAGCAGCAACGAAAACAGUCUCAUGAGGUAGAGCAAACGAUUAGAGGUCUUGGGGUUGAAAUCAGCCUUAACCUAUUCUCGAACUUCGAAUAUGUGAGAAGUCCUUGUUACUUAGUUGAA
rnacentral:rRNA from 1 species